AUUGGCGUCAUGGGAGGACUACUUCGAGCUCCGCAGUCGGUUCCCGGGGGCUGCGGCUUGGGGUCAAGCCGGUGCUGAAGGCGGGGAGAAUGUCACGGACGCGGACACGGGCCAAGCCCAGGAGGACAAGGAGGGCCAGCCCAAGAGAAGAUGAAGGCCCAAUCGGCGGUUCGACCCGUCCACCUGGGAGUUGGGUGGAUAAGCCAGGAAGCGGCUGUGUGUGUAGGGGCAUCGAGAAUUAUCUAGAGUUGUAACUUUCCCCUUCCCCUGCUCUCUCUUCCUCCCCCGAACUCUACCUCUCCUGUAACAGAUCUCACCUUUCCUACCCCCAAUUCCUCCUGUACCGCCAUGGAUUCAAGUCAAUAGAGGUAGAGAUCGUAACACAUUGAAGAUUCGGACUUUGAACUGGGAGUUACUAUUAUACCCAAACAACAAUGUGUCACCCUCUUUAAGUUCAUAGGCACUGACAAAUGUAUCCCAUCCAGAGCGAAGGACUAGCUCAUUCUGUUCAUUGUCAACCUGAACACUAUAUGUUUGGCCAUUUGGCACUUCUAGCUUUAUUUCUUCAGAUAUGUGCCCUGUGACAUAGUUUGCAAACUUUUCUGGUAUGGUCUGCAGGAAUAACCUACUAACAAGUUAAGGCAGUCAUUGUAAAGAAAAAUCAAGAGCACUUUACAAAACUAGUUUGCUACUCCCUCCGUUCCUAAAUAUAAGUCUUUUUAGACAUUUCAAAUGGAAUACAACAUACGGAUGUAUGUACACAUAUUUUAGAGUAUAGAUUCACUCAUUUUGCUUCGUAUGUAGUCACUUGUUGGAAUUUCUAGAAAGACUUAUAUUUAGGAACGGCCCACAAUCUUGAAUCACCUACAAACGGUCAAAAAACGGACAAAAACGUCGUCUGUUUGAGUCGGCGUGUUGGAGUUGCUCUAAAAUAUAUAUCUUUAGAUUUGUUGUUAAAUGUACUAGUUGGUUGGAGGGUAUUCACCAUAGUCUGAAGGGCCAAAUCGCGUUGUGAAUUUAUGUCACUCUUUGGGCAAUUUGGAAUUGCCUGAAUGUACCUGUUUAACAGAUGAUCUAUUCCAUUUUUUGCAGGUUAUCUUCAAAGCUACGACGUUGAUUAUAUGUGUCAUGGAUGCAGCGUGUGGACACACGAGAGGGCUUAUGGUCUUUG
rnacentral:lncRNA from 1 species